ensembl:lncRNA
UUUUACGUGUGUUUGUGUGCCUGGUUAAAAAGGUUUUAGACACUUGCUCACAUUGCUGAGCAAAUCCUUGUCAGGUGAGAGGACUGAGCCCUGGAGGAGGCGGGAAGAAGGACAAGGAAUGCCAAAGAUGGGGUUGGGGUGGAGGUGCGGGGGUCCCUGUUAAAUCUCGGUAAUCCCCUUAAUGAUGGUUUAAGCUCCUAAAAUGUUUCACUGAAAUGUGCACCUGCGCACAGCCGAGUGAGCAAACACACGAGAACGCUGCUGCAGAAACGGAGCAGUCUCAGUCAUCUAACACGGAUUCUGGGUAAGAUGGCACCAUAGCAACGACGGCAGCGUUCAGUGUGGAGAAGCAGGAGUGACAUCUGAUUGUGAGAUCUGAAACUGUGUGUUGUGCCAAAAACUGAUCAUCUGAAAAGAAGUGAUUUAUGAUAUUUGUGGGGGUUUUUAAGGUCUAAUCUCUUUCUUUUUUUAAAAUUAAAACAUUUAAAAAACAAUGUAAAAAAAAUUGGUUUUAGUUUAAUUGUUUUAAUUAAAUUGUGCUUUUUAUGGACCUUCUGUGUUUUAAAUAUAUAUUUUUAUUUUUUGGAUCAAUUAUUAUUAUUAUUAUUUAUUCAUGUUUGUGUUUUAUUAUUUUAUUUUAUUUAUUUUUCUGUAAUUUUAUUCUGUCCUUAAUGUUUGGUCAGCAUUUACUGUUUCAAAGUGCUUUAUAAAUACAGUUGAGAGAAAAGCCGAUAAGCUGAUCAUUGAUCAGUUUCAUGAUUGAAGUAGAAACAGGAGAGGGAGGGGGGAGAAUGAGAGAAAAAGAGGCACCUCUGCAGCUAAGACACUCAAUAACUCCAGCUUUGUGUCUUUUUCAUUGUAGCUGAAGUACAGGACAAACUGUUCCUUUUCACCACAAUACAAAACGCUCUGAAUACCAGAUGUUUCUGUUUUUUACAGGACGGUUGGCAACUCUAAUAAUUAACCUUAUGAACAAAAUAAAGUUCAACAUCAUUAACAUCAUAGCACCCACCCAGCUGUAUAGAAACUCCGUCAUGCUAGCUAGCACGCAGUACGGAAAAAGUCAGAAUAACGAAAAUAAACUCCACCUAAACUUGGUUUAUAUCUG